rnacentral:sRNA from 1 species
GCGGAGGGAUCAUUACCGAGUUUACAACUCCCAAACCCCUGUGAACAUACCACUUGUUGCCUCGGCGGAUCAGCCCGCUCCCGGUAAAACGGGACGGCCCGCCAGAGGACCCCUAAACUCUGUUUCUAUAUGUAACUUCUGAGUAAAACCAUAAAUAAAUCAAAACUUUCAACAACGGAUCUCUUGGUUCUGGCAUCGAUGAAGAACGCAGCAAAAUGCGAUAAGUAAUGUGAAUUGCAGAAUUCAGUGAAUCAUCGAAUCUUUGAACGCACAUUGCGCCCGCCAGUAUUCUGGCGGGCAUGCCUGUUCGAGCGUCAUUUCAACCCUCAAGCACAGCUUGGUGUUGGGACUCGCGUUAAUUCGCGUUCCUCAAAUUGAUUGGCGGUCACGUCGAGCUUCCAUAGCGUAGUAGUAAAACCCUCGUUACUGGUAAUCGUCGCGGCCACGCCGUUAAACCCCAACUUCUGAAUGUUGACCUCGGAUCAGGUAGGAAU